GGUCUGGAAAGAUACAUAAAUUUCCACUAGAAGAGGAGAAAGGCAUAAGACAGACCUCAGCUGUCGUUCAGGAAAGGAAGGGCCGCCAGUCUGGAGUGACAACGAGGAAGAGCUGCAUCCUGGGACAAUUUUAUGGCUGAUGAGAACAUAUCUUGAUCCACUCCACAUUUCAGUGUAACCUUGCAGUAUACCCGUAACACUGGAGGCACACAUCUCUUCCCUAGCAGCCCUUAAGAACCUGAAUGGUAGAGAGAGGGAGGAUCACAAAAGUUUGCUUCCAGCUCUAUACUCACCCACAGCCUGCAGACAGAUCAUCAGAAAAUUCAACUUUCAAGUGAGGAUCGUAAGCCAGAGAGUGCAGGACUCCACACCAGGGCAGAUGACCUGUGGAUUCCAGAAGCUCUCAGGAAUUUUGCAGAUUUCUCAAGGGCAACCCUGUCCAUAGAACGGGGAAAAGAACAAGCCCAUGCCUCCAAAGAGAAACUUCACAGUUCGCCUAAGUUUAACCUCUAGUGAUUCAUUCUCUUGUGUGUGGGGGCCUUCCGAUCUCUGGGAGCUCCCUCAAAGGCAAACUCCCAUGCAGAGGGCAUUUCUGAGGACUGAAAUCCAGAGUGUAAACUCUGCUCAAACAUGGACACAGAAAGGCAGACAGCAGGAGAAAUCAUUUUCCUACAAAGAGAAAACAGAUGUGUCUUGGAAGAGAAAAUGA
ensembl:lincRNA